GAAAGUAAGUAAGGGCGUAUGGGGGAUGCCUAGGCUCUUGGAGGCUAAGAAGGACGUGGUAAGCUGCGAAAAGCUGCGGGGAUUUGCAAACGAGACUCGAUCCGCAGAUAUCCGAAUGGGACAACCCGGCAGGUAGAAGACCUGUCACACCGCGAGGUGAGCUAACCCUCUGAACUGAAACAUCUAAGUAGGAGGAGGAAAAGAAAGAAACAUCGAUUUCCAAAGUAGCGGCGAGCGAAAUGGAAGAAGCCCAAACCGAUAUUGUUACGGCAAUAUCGGGGUUGUAGGACUGCAAUAUUCAAUUAACAAUGAACUGGAAUGGUCUGGAAAGUCCAUCCAUAGAGAGUGAAAGGCUCGUACAGGUAAGUUUGUUAUGCGAAAGCAGUAUCCUGAGUAUGGCGGGACACGAGGAAUCCUGUCAGAAUCAGCCGGGACCACCCGGUAAGGCUAAAUACUCCCAAGAGACCGAUAGUGGACCAGUACUGUGAAGGAAAGGUGAAAAGAACCCCGAACAGGGGAGUGAAAUAGAACCUGAAACCAUACGCUUACAACCGGUCGGAGCAGCUUCGUGCUGUGACGGCGUGCCUAUUGAAUAAUGAGCCUACGAGUUACUAAUCACUAGCGAGGUUAAGUGCAAGGAUGCACGGAGCCGAAGCGAAAGCGAGUCUGAACAGGGCGUUUAGUUAGUGGUUGUAGACGCGAAACCUUGCGAUCUACCCUUGAGCAGGUUGAAGGUUGGGUAAAACCAACUGGAGGACCGAACGAAUAAGCGUUGAAAAGCUUCUCGAUGACUUGAGGGUAGGGGUGAAAGGCUAAUCAAGCUGGGAAAUAGCUCGUACUCCCCGAAAUGCCUUUAGGGGCAGCGUUGUAAUUAAGAGUCUACUGGAGGUAGAGCUACUGAUUGGAUGCGGGGGCUUCACCGCCUACCAAAUCCUGACAAACUCCGAAUGCCAGUAGUAUGAUUUACAGCAGUGAGCGACCGGGUGCUAAUGUCCGGUUACGAGAGUGGAACAACACAGACCAGCAACUAAGGUCCCCAAGAGUAUACUAAGUUGAUCUAACGAUGUUUUGCUGCAGAGACAGCUAGGAUGUUAGCUUGGAAGCAGCUAUUCAUUCAAAGAGUGCGUAACAGCUCACUAGUCGAGCGGCAAAGCGUGGAUAAUAAACGGGCAUCAAGUAUACCACCGAAGUUCUGGGCACGAAAGUGCGGUAGGGGAGCAUUCCAUUCCGCGUUGAAGCCGAACCGUGAGGUUUGGUGGAGUGUAUGGAAAAGCAAAUGUAGGCAUGAGUAACGAUAAUGCGGGAGAGUAACCCGCACACCGCAAGACCAAGGUUUCCUGAUCAACGCUAAUCGGAUCAGGGUUAGUCGGGUCCUAAGGGUAAGCCGAACGGUGAUCUCGAUGGAUAAUCGGUUAAUAUUCCGAUACUGACAUAUACCUCGAUGGAGAGACGAAGGAACGUAAGUGCCGCCACCUGACGGAAUAGGUGGUUAAAGGGCUUAGGUAUAGGGACAGAUUAAGAGUUAGUCCUUGCUGAAACCUGACAGUACAGAGAGCCUACGGGCAAUUUGAUAGUGCACCCAAGUCGACUUCCGAGAAAAUCUUCUAAGUUAUAGUAUAUGUCACCCGUACCGUAAACCGACACAGGUGGUCGAGGAGAGUAUCCUAAGGUGCUCGAGUGAAUCACGGUUAAGGAACUAGGCAAAUUAACCCCGUAACUUCGGGAAAAGGGGUCCCAUCGCGAGGUGGGCGCAGCGAAGAGGUCCAGGCGACUGUUUAUCAAAAACACAGGGCUCUGCAAAUUCGAAAGAAGACGUAUAGGGCCUGACACCUGCCCGGUGCUGGAAGGUUAAGAGGGGAUGUCAUCGCAAGAGAAGCAUUGAAUCGAAGCCCCAGUAAACGGCGGCCGUAACUAUAACGGUCCUAAGGUAGCGAAAUUCCUUGUCGGGUAAGUUCCGACCUG
rnacentral:rRNA from 1 species